UACGUAGGGGGCAAGCGUUGUCCGGAAUCAUUGGGCGUAAAGCGCGUGUAGGCGGCCCGGUAAGUCCGCUGUGAAAGUCGGGGGCUCAACCCUCGGAUGCCGGUGGAUACUGUCGGGCUAGAGUGCGGGAGAGGCGAGUGGAAUUCCUGGUGUAGCGGUGAAAUGCGCAGAUAUCAGGAGGAACACCAAUUGCGAAGGCAGCUCGCUGGAACGUUACUGACGCUGAGAAGCGAAAGCAUGGGGAGCGAACAGG
rnacentral:rRNA from 1 species